ACGAGAUGCCGUGCCCGUUCGAGCGGUCCGCCCGAUAAACUGGCCGCCGGAGUGCCGGGCGCAGCCCUGUGCACCCCACCAAGAAAUAGCCAGCAGCCGCUGCAACCCCAGGGAG
rnacentral:sRNA from 1 species